rnacentral:tRNA from 1 species
GGCGAUGUCGGCGAGGGUCUCGCGUCCGGCCAUGUUGGUGUCGUCCCAGUAGGUGCUGUGGUUGUUGGCGUUCCAGGCGCCGGUGUCGCUG